rnacentral:rRNA from 1 species
AAUAGAUACCCCGGUAGUCCACGCCGUAAACGAUGAGUGCUAAGUGUUGGGGGUCGAACCUCAGUGCUGAAGUUAACGCAUUAAGCACUCCGCCUGGGGGGUACGGUCGCAAGACUGAAACUCAAAGGAAUUGACGGGGACCCGCACAAGCGGUGGAGCAUGUGGUUUUAAUUCGAAGCAACGCGAAGAACCUUACCAGGUCUUGACAUACCAUUGACCGUUCUAGAGAUAGGAUUUUUCCCUUCGGGGACAAUGGAUACAGGUGGUGCAUGGUUGUCGUCAGCUCGUGUCGUGAGAUGUUGGGUUAAGUCCCGCAACGAGCGCAACUCCUAUCGUUAGUUGCCAGCAUUCAGUUGGGGACUCUAACGAGACUGCCAGUGACAAACUGGAGGAAGGUGGGGAUGACGUCAAAUCAUCAUGCCCCUUAUGACCUGGGCUACACACGUGCUACAAUGGUUGGUACAAAGAGAAGCGAAGCGGUGACGUGGAGCAAACCUCAUAAAGCCAAUCUCAGUUCGGAUUGUAGGCUGCAACUCCG